rnacentral:ribozyme from 13 species
AGGAAGGGAAGAGAGAAAGAAGGAAAGAGAAGAGGAGAAGAGCGUCAUCAUAGUGGGUUCUUAAGUGCGUAAAUGUUGUUUCUUUUUCUUUUUCUUUUUCUUUUUCUUUUU